rnacentral:rRNA from 1 species
GACGAACGCUGGCGGCGUGCCUAAUACAUGCAAGUUGAGCGCUGAAGGUUGGUACUUGUACCAACUGGAUGAGCAGCGAACGGGUGAGUAACGCGUGGGGAAUCUGCCUUUGAGCGGGGGACAACAUUUGGAAACGAAUGCUAAUACCGCAUAAAAACUUUAAACACAAGUUUUAAGUUUGAAAGAUGCAAUUGCAUCACUCAAAGAUGAUCCCGCGUUGUAUUAGCUAGUUGGUGAGGUAAAGGCUCACCAAGGCGAUGAUACAUAGCCGACCUGAGAGGGUGAUCGGCCACAUUGGGACUGAGACACGGCCCAAACUCCUACGGGAGGCAGCAGUAGGGAAUCUUCGGCAAUGGACGAAAGUCUGACCGAGCAACGCCGCGUGAGUGAAGAAGGCUUUCGGAUCGUAAAACUCUGUUGGUAGAGAAGAACGUUGGUGAGAGUGGAAAGCUCAUAAAGUGACGGUAACUACCCAGAAAGGGACGGCUAACUACGUG